GCCCGCGUGGCGUAAUGGAAACGCGUUUGACUGUAUGUCACAAUUCUCGGCUUGUCGAAAAUCAAUUGCUAAUAAGUAUCCCAGUCUAAUCAAAAGAUUGCGGGUUCGACCCCCGCCGUGGGUU
rfam:Aspergillus versicolor CBS 583.65 unplaced genomic scaffold ASPVEscaffold_11, whole genome shotgun sequence.